CAUGCAGUUUGCUUCCACACUGAGUUUGGCUGCUCAAAUAUUAUAAACGGGGUUUGCAAUGUGAGCUGAACUCCAUCAGGCAGGCAGGGGCAGCAUGAUGGUGUCACAUACUCUGGUUCUCAUGUCCCUGUUGCUCUGGGUCUCUGGUGGCAGUGGGGACAUUGUGAUGACCCAGUCUCCAGCCUCCCUGGCUGUGUCUCCAGGGGAAAUGGUUACCAUCAGCUCCAAGUCCAGCCAGAGUAUUGGUAGCACCUUAGCCUGGUACCAGUUGAAAGCAAGACAGGCUCCUAAGCUGCUCAUCUACUCAGCAUCCACCCAGGCAUCUGGGGUCCUUGACCGGUUCCAUGGCAGUGGAUCUGGGACGGACUUCACUCUCACCAUCAGCAGCCUCCAGGCUGAAGAUGUGGCAGAUUAUUACUGUCAGCACUUUUAUAGCUAUGUUCUCACAGUGCUUCAGUCUCGAACACAAAUCUCCUACCCAAGGUUACAGGCCAGUGAUUCUUCACUGCACCAGCUGUUUCCUUUCUGCUCAGCCCUGAACAUGGCUGCAUCAGCCCUGUCCCAUAGGCUGCAUCUCUUAACUAAUUCCUGGGAUGUUGGCAAGGCCCAGGAGAAAAUGAAAUGA